GCCAGCCCGCUCAGAAACUUAAAGGAAUUGACGGGGGAGCACCACAACGGGUGGAGCUUGCGGUUUAAUUGGAUCAACGCCGGAAUCUUACCGGGACCGACAGCAAUAUGAAGGCCAGGCUGAAGGCUUUGCCGGAUUAGCUGAGAGGUGGUGCAUGGCCGUCGUCAGUUCGUACUGUGAAGCAUCCUGUUAAGUCAGGCAACGAGCGAGACCCACGCCCACAGUUGCCAGCGUACUCUCUGGAGUGACGGGUACACUGUGGGGACCGCCGCUGCUAAAGCGGAGGAAGGAAUGGGCAACGGUAGGUCAGUAUGCCCCGAAUAUCCCGGGCUACACGCGAGCUACAAUGGUUGGUACAAUGGGUAUCUACCCCGAAAGGGGACGGGAAUCUCCUAAAACCAAUCUUAGUUCGGAUUGAGGGCUGCAACUCGCCCUCAUGAAGCUGGAAUCCGUAGUAAUCGCGUUUCAACAGAACGCGGUGAAUACGUCCCUGCUCCUU
rnacentral:rRNA from 1 species